CACAGCAAAGUCACAAAGUGGAACUUACCUGAGUAAAGAUAUGUAAACUUUGUCGCUUUGUUCACUGUUACAUUGGAGUAAGUUCCUAUGAGUCAAAGAUAUAAAACGCUGAAGGCAGGACCAGCGGGAGGGUACUUACUUACUUGAGCUAACGGCUGAAUAAACCAUUUGAAACUACACCUCUCUGUCGACUCCACUCCUUCUCGUUAGACGUUAGACGGGUUUGCCCGAAGACUGCAGUUGCUCAAAGAUGAAUGAUAUGCUGUUCUCAUUUUCCAAGGCCAAAUUAUCUUUGGGCUGUGAUCAAGCAUAAGAAAUUUCCACCCCUGGGAUAAUUCUUUUGAAGAUUACACAAGCAAUGGAAGUUCAUAGGUUUCCCUUGCUUCCUGAAUGGAAUAUAUAUCAACAGGACAGCACCAC